GACGAACGCUGGCGGCGUGCUUAACACAUGCAAGUCGAACGGAAAGGCCCUGCUUUUGUGGUGUGCUCGAGUGGCGAACGGGUGAGUAACACGUGAGUAACCUGCCCUUGACUUUGGGAUAACUUCAGGAAACUGGGGCUAAUACCGGAUAGGAGCUCCUGCUGCAUGGUGGGGGUUGGAAAGUUUCGGCGGUUGGGGAUGGACUCGCGGCUUAUCAGCUUGUUGGUGGGGUAGUGGAUUACCAAGGCUUUGACGGGUAGCCGGCCUGAGAGGGUGACCGGCCACAUUGGGACUGAGAUACGGCCCAGACUCCUACGGUAGGCAGCAGUGGGGAAUAUUGCACAGUGGGCGGAAGCCUGAUGCAGCAACGCCGCGUGCGGGAUGACGGCCUUCGGGUUGUAAACCGCUUUCGCCUGUGACGAAGCGUGAGUGACGGUAAUGGGUAAAGAAGCACCGGCUAACUACGUG
rnacentral:rRNA from 1 species